GACAGCAACCCCUGGCGCAGACACAUUCACUUCACUCUCGUCCACAUCUCCAACAACAGCAACCCCUGGCGCUGCCACAUUCACUUUACUCUCUUCCACAUCUCCAACAACAGCAACCCCUGGCGCAGACACAUUGACAUUGACAUCAAUAGCAUCCACAACUGCAUCUCCAUCCGGAGUAAAUUUCUCACCAUCUGCUCCAACCAACAAAGACUCCGACGGUUCAACAACCUCCUUAUUGGGUUUUGCGGCAUCAUCACUAGGAAUAGCACUCUCUUCCACAUCUCCCACAACAGCAACGCCUGGUGCUGACACAUUGACAUUGACAUCAAUAGCAUCCACAACCGCAUCUCCUUCUGGAGUAAAUUUCUCACCAUCUGCUCCAACGAACAAAGACUCUGUCGGUUCAACAACCGCUUUAUUGGGUUUUUCGG
rnacentral:lncRNA from 1 species